CGACUGUUCUUCGUCGUGUAAAUAACUGCAGCGUGUAACCAAAAAUUUGAAACGUAUCACGACUUGAAAAUCAGUUUGUCAGUCGGCAUCGAUACGGCCGGGCCCUACACAGUUUAUAAUUGAAACUUUUGCGUAAACGACGAUUUUCGGCUUAGCGACGGACGAUUGAAGUCCACGUAUGUGCGAUAGUGAAAAUAGAAUAAGAAACAUAAGGGUAGUUUCUAUAGUUGACCCGGGUGAUUCGAAUAAACGAUGAAAAGAGAUGCGAGUCAGGGGUGUGUAAGAGCAUAGUUUUAAAAAUGGAUAAAUCACACGGAAGACG